CAUUUCAUUUUCUCUUCCACUAAGAGGCCAAUUGGCAGAGGCCAACAUGCAGAUCUUCGUGAAGACCCUGACAGGCAAGACCAUAACUUUUGAGGUCGAGCCCAGUGACACCAUCAAGAAUGUCAAGGUCAAGAUCCAAGACAAGGAAGGCAUCCCAGUUGACCAGCAGAGGCUGGUAUUUGCCGGCAAACAGCUGCAGUAUGGACACACCCUUUCCAACUAAUACAUCCAGAACCAUUCUACCUUGUACCUGGUGCUGCGUCUGCGCAGUGGCAUCCUUGAGCCCUGCCAGUGUCAGCUUGCACAGAAGGACAAGUAACAAGAUGAUCUGCUUCAAGUGCUACACAUGCCUGCACCCUUGUGCAGUCGACUGUUGCAAGAAUUGGGGCCAUACCAACAACCUGUGCCCCCAAAACAAGGUCAAAUGAAGAUGAGGUCAUAGCUGGAGUGACCCUGAGAUCAAAUAAAGUCCCUUCCAUCAACUUGA